rnacentral:rRNA from 1 species
GAUGAACGCUGGCGGCGUGCCUAAUACAUGCAAGUCGAGCGAACAGAUGAGGAGCUUGCUCCUCUGACGUUAGCGGCGGACGGGUGAGUAACACGUGGAUAACCUACCUAUAAGACUGGGAUAACUUCGGGAAACCGGAGCUAAUACCGGAUAAUAUAUUGAACCGCAUGGUUCAAUAGUGAAAGACGGUUUUGCUGUCACUUAUAGAUGGAUCCGCGCCGCAUUAGCUAGUUGGUAAGGUAACGGCUUACCAAGGCAACGAUGCGUAGCCGACCUGAGAGGGUGAUCGGCCACACUGGAACUGAGACACGGUCCAGACUCCGACGGGAGGCAGCAGUAGGGAAGCUUCCGCAAUGGGCGAAAGCCUGACGGAGCAACGCAGCGUGAGUGAUGAAGGUCUUCGGAUCGUAAAACGCUGUUAUGAGGGAAGAACAAAUGUGUAAGUAACUAUGCACGUCUUGACGGUACCGAAUCAGAAAGCCACGGCUAACUACGU